CCUACGGGAGGCAGCAGUGGGGAAUAUUGGGCAAUGGGCGCAAGCCUGACCCAGCAACGCCGCGUGAAGGAAGAAGGCUUUCGGGUUGUAAACUUCUUUUAUCAGGGACGCAGCACGUGACGGUACCUGAUGAAUAAGCCACGCCAAACUACGUGCCAGCAGCCGCGGUAAUACGGAGGUGGCCAGCGUUAUCCGGAUUUACUGGGUGUAAAGAGCGUGUAGGCGGGAGUGCAAGUCAGAGGUGAAAACUAGGGGCUCAACCCAUAGCCGGCAUUUGAAACUGUAGUUGUUGAGUGCUGGGGAGGCAAUCGGAAUUGCGGGUGUAGCGGGGAAAUGCGUAGAUAUACGGAGGAACACCAGUGGCGAAGGCGGAUUGCGGGACAGUAACUGACGCUGAGGAGCGAAAGCGUGGGGAGCAAACAGGAUUAGAUACCCGGGUAUC
rnacentral:rRNA from 1 species